UACGAAGGGGGCUAGCGUUGUUCGGAAUUACUGGGCGUAAAGCGUACGUAGGCGGAUUGUUAAGUGAGGGGUGAAAUCCCGAGGCUCAACCUCGGAACUGCCUUUCAUACUGGCAAUCUUGAGUCCGGGAGAGGUGAGUGGAACUCCUAGUGUAGAGGUGAAAUUCGUAGAUAUUAGGAAGAACACCAGUGGCGAAGGCGGCUCACUGGCCCGGAACUGACGCUGAGGUACGAAAGCGUGGGGAGCAAACAGGAUUAGAAACCCUGGUAGU
rnacentral:rRNA from 1 species